GACGAACGCUGGCGGCGUGCUUAACACAUGCAAGUCGAACGGAAAGGCCCUGCUUUUGUGGGGUGCUCGAGUGGCGAACGGGUGAGUAACACGUGAGUAACCUGCCCUUGACUUUGGGAUAACUUCAGGAAACUGGGGCUAAUACCGGAUAGGAGCUCCUGCUGCAUGGUGGGGGUUGGAAAGUUUCGGCGGUUGGGGAUGGACUCGCGGCUUAUCAGCUUGUUGGUGGGGUAGUGGCUUACCAAGGCUUUGACGGGUAGCCGGCCUGAGAGGGUGACCGGCCACCUUGGGACUGAGAUACGGCCCAGACUCCUACGGGAGGCAGCAGUGGGGAGUAUUGCACAAUGGGCGGAAGCCUGAUGCAGCAACGCCGCGUGCGGGAUGACGGCCUUCGGGUUGUAAACCGCUUUCGCCUGUGACGAAGCGUGAGUGACGGUAAUGGGUAAAGAAGCACCGGCUAACUACGUG
rnacentral:rRNA from 1 species